rnacentral:tRNA from 1 species
GGAUCUGGCGGCCCGCACCGGCUCGGUGCUGGGCCUGCUCGGCCCGAACGGGGCCGGCAAGACGACGGCCGUGCGGAUCUUCGCCACGCUGUUGCC